UCCUCCGCAGAAAAAGCAGCCAAUCCCUCCCUCCCCCUUGUCCACACUCUCUCACAAUCCCCUUUCUUGGCCCGGGAGUAAUAUUGAAUCGAAUCCCUUCUCUCGUUGCUCUCUGCCUUUACCCUUUACUUUCAAGAACAUUGCAUCUGUCUCCUCAUGUUCUUUGUCUUUGAUUCAUUCAUAUUGAUCAUCAGUUGCAUGCAGCUCGAAAGGAACUAGCUUGCAGAUCCACCAUUUUUGGGUUUCAAGAAGAGAGAUGAGAAGCAAUGGAGAAGCCAAGAAGAGACAGAAGGAGAAAAGGAAGCCGAGAAGAGGCGACUUGCAAUUGAAACUUCGACCCUCGUUCGUCAGUUCACAUGGAGACUUCGAGAUCGAGACUUCAACACUACUUGCAGCCAGAAAACAAAGAAGAGGUGAACUGGUGAAGGUGAAGCCGUGAUUCGUGAAGAUGAAUACUUGGGUUCCAUAAUUUCAUUUGGCCUUUUGUGUUUUUUGUUCUUCAGAUUUAGGUCCUUCAUGUUUAAAAAAUUAUGAACUCAUCCAACCGGCCGGUUCACCUGGAUUCGAUGAGUUUGCCUAAAAAUCGCCCGUUUUUUUGGGUUCACUGA